UCUCGCCCUGUAGGCCCGCCUCCACCUGGGCUGCCAAGGACGGGUACUGUUGGAGGAUGCUCCGAAGGGUAUCUUCUACCCUGCCCUCCUCUGUCAGCCUCUGGAGGAUCCUCUGUUGGAAAGGAAAAUGUGAUUAUAGCCAUACAAUUAACUGAGGACCAGAUUCCAUGUCUGUAAAGUAGUGAAACGAAAGGAAACAAGUAAAAAAUAUUACCUCCCCCGCUCAACAACUUUUUUAACGUUGAAAUCGUCCUUGUCCCAACUGGUUUCCCCCUCCCCCGAAUGGCUGGCUGGAUCCGCCAUUGCAUAUGGCAUAACUUACCAAAUUAAGUUUUACUAGUUUUUAUUACUAACCGAUGUUUAACAUACGAGCUUACAAUACACAUGUAUGUACCUGAAGUGACGCAUAUAUUGCAGACGACUUGAAGAAGCAGUUCAACACAAAACCAUUGGUUAAGUUAUGCAAUCAAUAAUACAGGACAUCAAAGCCAAUGGCCAUGCGUAAAAACUUGUAAGCAAUAAGCAUGUUCUGGUACCCUAUACAAUAGUUUGAAACAAGCUGAUGCAAGGAAGAAAAGCAGGGCCCUGUUCGGUCGCUGCUGCCAAAACAGCUUCCCUAACAGCCCACUAGUAGGUGGCUACUGUGUUAAAGCAAUAGGACUAAGAAAGGGCUGUGCUGUUGACCAAUGAGAGACUGAGAAACGCACGCAGGUUUGCUGACGUACGUUGACGUUGCUGCUGACGUCUGCACAGGUCUAACUACGAGCAGCCUACAUGUGUUGGUGUAAUUGGCUCAUUUACAUAUCACGCAGCUAACAGUGAUGACGUCAUGUAACCAUGACGUAAAUCGACGCGCCAACGCCGUAAGUCUGCUGAUAAAAAACAGCGACUGAACAGGGCCCAGCAUUUCUAGCAAACCAGUAAAGGAAAGUAGGUAUAUGAAAAAUUUUAGAAAUGUUCCACACUGGAUAUGUGGGGUAGGUAGGUAUAAAAGUUGUCAUAUUUUGGUAUAUCAAACCACUUUAGAUUGCCUUAAAGUGGCAACGUAUAUGAGAAAUGACUGAAAGGAAGUCGAGCAAGAAUGUAUAAAAUGGAAACAAAAGCAUGAAAGCAUAUAAUUCUUCGGAAUGCUUGAGACGAGGUGUUAGUAUCACUGAUGUUAGUUGUCGGACUUUCGUGCAUGAAAGAAAGAGCAUGAAAGAAAUAAACAUCAACUAGCACAAGCAUCUAUUUUGUCCUGUCUGGGCAGACACAUAAAAAAGGAUGACAGGCAAUAUAAUCUAAGAAAGGAAACAGAGACAUGGACUAGCAUUACAGCAUCUGGCAUUUGCAUAUCUGCAAGCAGUCUGUCAAUUACUGUCAUCCUGCCGGUUGCAUCCUCUUCAGCGGCAGCCAAGGCUUCCCUGUAGAAUGAUAUGGAAAGACACAAUUCUACAAGUUGUUUUUUCUGACAUAAGUUCUUUAUAACACUUUAACAAGCAAGCAUUAUACCUUGACAAUUGUUCAAUGCUCAUUAUGAAGAUCAUGCAAGAACAUUUGAUAAUUAGUCACCCUGCGCUAUAAUCACAGGUGAGAAGCGAGGACCAUAUAAGGAUAUCGUUAGUGGGUAAGGGGGCUGGGCGGUAAGUACAGAGGGAGGUGGAGGACGGGGUAUUAAUAAAUUUCGUUACAGCAAGGCACUACUUUAGGGGUCAGAAUGACCCCUCCCCCACGAAGGUACCCCCGGGGUGCGGACCCCCCCCCCCCCCAUAUUUUAGCUGGUGUCAGAUGGGCUUUCUAGUGGCUUCAUAUUCAUUCAUACAUCAUAACCACAAGUUUUGCAAUGAACGUUGUAUUAACCUUAGAACGCUACGUCACAAGCUAGACGUUCACGCCUCAGUGAGGAACAUCCUUAUGCACUUACGAACGCGCAGCAAAAGGCAAACGCAAGUUAGAAAACAUGCUUCGCAAAUAGUUCACAGAUCAUGCUGAAAGGUCUUCAGGCCAGAAUCACACAAAGCGCCUGAGCGCGGCACUGUUGGCAGCGUAGUUGUGCCCAAGAGGCACACAGUGGACCCUCACGUGGUCAAAAUCUCCACAACCGGCCGCAGCGCCUUGGGCACUGUCGUGCCCUCCCGGUGUCCAAUCACGUUCUGCACGAGAAAGUUCCCCAGAUGUUUUACUUUGCCUGCGCACCGCUGGUUGAACGCCAUUACCACAACACUCCACAUGAGCAGUGAAGACGCUGGGGUGUUGUUGGGGCUUUGUUGAAACAGCUGCUCCCCUUCGACGGUUACAAUGCCCUGUACCUAUGAUCGCGGGGCCUCUGCACGGAAAAAAUAUUUACUCCCCUACGUGGGGUUCUGACGUCCCAAAUACAGUACCUAUAUUAGAGUAGAUAUUCGCCCUAUUUUGGAGUUCUAUCCAUAACUCCCUAAAACUAUCAAAAGGCGAUUCAUUACUCUCUUGGUGUUUUGAAACUCCCUUGUAAAACGCAAUUGAAACUCCCUUUUAGGGAGUGAAAAAUAAUAGGGAGUAGUGGAACCUAAGAGGAGUAAUAAAACUCCUUAUUAACCACUCCUUAUUCCGGAGCUAUGAUCGUAAAAGGGAGUUUCACUACUCCUGUUCUGCAAGUGAAACUCCUUUAAAUUUGUCUGUGGAGUAAUGUCACACCGAAAACGAGACGAGCUAAGUGGUUCCAAAACUCCCAAAAAGGUACUCAUCCCAAAUACAGUACUUAUAUUAGAGUAGAUAAAGUUAAAGUUCUGGAGUUUUCCAAAAAGGGUGUGAUGUCACCCCAAAUAUACGGGUUGAGUCACUCCUAAUUUCAGGCCAGACGAAUUAAAUAACAUUGCACAAGCACCGACUGACAUAACCAGAGCAUUUGCAGCUGUAAUUUUAAUAAAUACGGAACAUUGAUGACAAAGCCGAUACAAGAAAUGUCGCUAGAUGCUAUGUUGUUACCUGCGAUUUGUCUUGCAACACAAUGUCAAAUGCCAAAAUUCUAAAAAAUGUCUCGCAACAUAUUCAACAAAAUAUCGAUCUUUAGCAACAUUCUUUAUUGCAUGUUUUCUACUGUUUUCUACCAGAAACAUGAACGAACAUGGAACAGGGUUUCUACCAGAAACACCGGUGCACCGAACGAGUCUCCGUCAUGGGAUGAGCAGACAUCGACAAUGAACUCAACGAUCGGCAGCGUCGAUGACAGCGGCGCCUUGUGCAUGUGUAACCGAGGCGAACUGACGUUGUAUCUGUGUUUGAUACUUCAUCAGCUCAUGCCGACAUGAACGCACGGACGGGCGCCUCCCGCGGCACCUCCGCGCCACUAGAACGAACAUGGAACAGGGUAAACAGCGCCUUGUGCGUAUCGCAUCAUGUCGACAUGAACGCACGGACGUGCCGGGCGCCCCCCGCGGCACCUCUGCGCCACUAGAAUGAACAUGGAACAGGGCCUGUUGGCUAUCUCUGAUACGGAUAACGGAACAUUAUCCAAUUAGCUCCCAACAAUCAAAGGUAUAGAAUAGAAAAGAAAGAAACGUUUACAUACUCCGUUCACCCAGUGAGUGGCUCCCAAAUCCAGCAGGCAAGCAGUAAGCAGUGACAGAAAUCAACAUUCAAGACGACUGCAAAGGAAAGAGAGCCAGCUGAUGCAACGGGGCUUACACAUUAAACACAAACAAUGGCACCGGCGGUAACAGCUACACUUCCAUUGCAGCGUAUUUCUCAUCGCUGUACUUGUUGGAGCACGCGACUCUCGUUCGCAGGGACAUUCUGUCGCCCCGCGUCUGGCGCUGCAUUGCCUUCAUCGCAGCGCUACACUUCCAUUGCAGCGCAUUUCUCAUCGCUGUACUUGUUGCAGCACGCGACUCCCGUUCGCAGGGACUGUCUCUCGCCCCGCGUGUGGCUCUGCAUUGCCUAUUGCAGUCAUCGCAAACUUUUGCCUAUCAAUUUUGGCUGCUGGCUUGGCUCGUUUGUUCUCAGAAGUUCGGAUAUUGAGCGGAGUAAUUUAAUAAAUUUAGAAUGGCUCAUUCGACCGUUCUUUCAAGCUCAAUUCGGUGGGCGCGUCCAACAGCUGCAGCCGUCUGAUUUACACAGUUUCAGAUUUACAAAAUCACGUACCUACUGAGCAAGCGCACUGGAUUUACAGCAGGCCGUUUCGCCAAAUGCAGUUUAAGUCUUACGUUAGCGUCGUAUCCUCAUACCAGCAAUAAUGAAAAACGUUUUUACGACUUACUGUUAGCCGUUUGUUAACACAGUUUAAGAUUUACAAAACCACGUUAUACUAACAAGCGAUUCCGGACUUUACGGCAGGGCGUUUCAUUAACACAGUUGAAGAUUUACAUAAUGGCGUGCCUGACCUACCGGGAAAAAACGUUGUUCAGCCGAAUUUCACUUGAAAGAACGUUCCCGGCCGAGAUGCACCAUUAUGUGAAGGGGGCUUAGGCCGGUCCUGUGGGCCCUUCGUUACCUCUCCUCCGGAUCUCUACUUUACUGUAUAGGAUCAGUGGUCGGCCGGGACGUCUCCCAGCCUUUUACCCGUCUGCCACCCGGGCCACUGUCCUCUAAACUAAAUGUACUAAACUAUGCAUCCUGGUUCAGGUGAAUAACUCGGCCAUUUUGGGGCACACGCAGUUGGUAGCGAACCCUGGGUUUGGAGCUAAGCUCCUGAACCAUAAUGACUAUCUAAGCACCGAAUGAAUCUGACUCCGCUCCGCUCAAUUUCCGUUCUCCUCCGACCCAUUCCAUUUCCAAAAGCUUCUGGUCAAUUCAUACCCACAUAUAUUAUCAAAGCCGAACAUCAUGAAAGGACUGCUAGAGAAUCAUUUGAACCCUGACGGAAUAACUUCCGCGUGCUACCCUAUCAAUACCCUCACGACAAUCGACGCGCGAAUCUACCUAAUCCUCCACCUAGGUGCUCCUAUCCUAGCUAAGGGAUGUCCGUGAGCCCGCGACAAUCCCUGCGUGACGGAAACCUACCUCGAGCCAGGAGAGCCCGCAGCAGAAGAGUAGUCGGGCACAGCGCAGCACAGCACUUAGGCAGGCAGACACUGAGCCCCGACUCCUCCUCUUGCUGUGCUUAUGUACCGGGCUCGAGGCGGGAACGCCCCACGUCAGCCGGCCCGAGGCUAAGGCCGACCAACCAGCGCGCUUGGUUACCAUCACGCUGACCUCCACUGAUGUAACUCCCAACGCGGACGCGGGCGCAACGGACGAACAAACGGACGAACAAAGGAUAGCACACGUUCACAUUCAUACGCCUAAAUUUCUACAAUCCCUGCAUAAUAUUUCACGGCCACAUUAAUACAUUAAUACGCCUAAAUUCCUACAAUCCCUACACUGAUCCGAGGGCAGGCAGACCCACUGGGGCCGUCCCACCGGAGGCGCCGGCCAGCUCGGCUCCGCUUGCGUCCAGGUCGAACUGGAGUUGCCGAGCCGCAGCUGCCCUUGUAGUGCGCGACGAUGUAGACGUUGUGAUGGACUGUCGUGGAUAAGAAGGGGUGCCGUGGCGGCUCCGCACCAUCUAAUAGGAGAGGCGGCGCCUUGGUCCCGGGUAGGCUCCUUGGAGCGUCCCGGAAGGCCAGAGGCAAGAAGACGCCGCGACUAGUACCACAUACACUACACCACUAUGAGCAUGAUUCUCACACAAUCACCGGUUGUGGGGAGCACCCCUCGUCGGUGCUCACCCUACGAUCGCCGCGCACAGACUGUGCCGACGACCGAGGUGGUGCUUUCGCGGCUAUCGAAUGGAGGAUAUCGAGUGCAGUGCUUUUGCGGACAAUGAGUGUUUUCACGCACAUCGCGAGAACAGUGACAGGAAGAUGCGUCUCGUGACAGACCAGGACUGAAUGUGAGGAUUAUGGUGAGGCAGAGGGACCCGGACAUUGGACGAGCAGUCAAUAUGCCGCGGGCGCGGCCGUCGGCAAGAGAAUCGAUAUCGUCAAAAAGUGAAAGCGACCACAAAAAGGACACAUGUGCAUUGUGACGCCUUUCUUGGGUUUAGAUCACUCACACACACACGCGCGCGCACCGGGACUGUUGCUGAGAAUGCCAUGCCAUCUGGAGAUGACCAGGUACCUAUUGACGUUAUACCUACUGAGGUAGCGUGGUUAAGGACUGUACAUACAUAUAGGUGUUUAAGGCAAAUGAAAUUGACACGUUACGAUAGCAUGCCAUUUAUGUAAAUAUAAGUAGAAUAAGUGCGGCGUGGUGAUCGCGGUGACAGUAUUUAUUUUAUGUAUUGUGAAACGCGUAGUUAUAGGCGGUGCGGUACUUGUGGUGAUGGUGCCUUGACAUAGAUUAUCUAGUGUUUGAAAACGGAACCUUAGUUGCGGUGAUGGUAUUUAGAUAAUAUUCGGGGUAGGAUUGAGAUAGCCCUCCGGCGGGGCAUAUUGUAUUUUUGUGGUGAGUCCCAUCAUGUGUAUGUGCCCAUUGUUCACUUAUCUCGUUGGCAUUGACCCAUAGAGUACAUGUGUUAAUGGAAGAAUGGGGGGUAGGUGACAUUACCCCACAACCAGUAUUGACGGAUAAUAUGAGCAGCAGACAUUUCGGACGGUGCAGACAUUGUUGCUUGAAUCACGAGUGACUAUGAACUUUUCCCCUCCUUCAGCAUGGACGGCCCACAGACAACGACUCCCGACGUUGACGGGAUGGCCCCGGCGUCGUCCUGACCGACGCCGCCGCCGACUCCGCCCCCUACAUCACCCGACCAUGACGGGGACUCGGAGGCAGAGUCGGAGACGGCGUACGAGCUGUCCCCGACCCAGCCCGUGUGGGACCUCUCCCAGCCGGUCGGAGAGGUGGUGCGGUGCGCCUCCCCAUGGUCGGACGAGUCGGAGGACUGGGGGACAGAAGCGGAGGAGGAGGAGGAGCCAUUACAACUCCUCCGACUCCGCUUGUUAACUGACACUAUGACGACGAAUCAAAGCCUCCGACGUUGAGGAGAUGGCUCGGGCGUCGUCCCGACCGACGCCGCCGCCGCCGACUCCGCCGACACCUACAUCAUCCGACGAUGACGGGGACUCGGAGGCAGACUCUGAGACGGUCUACGAGCUGUCCCCGACUCAGCCCGUCUGGGACCGCAGGGAGCCGGUCGGGCAGGUGGUGCGGUGCGCGUAGCCCUGGUCGGACAUGACCGACUGGGACGACGAGGCCGAGGAAGAAGUGUUCCGUGCGUGUAGUCCGAGGCACUUGGCUCCCCAGCUGGGGAGACGCCAUCCCCACGAGAAAGGGGUCUCGAUGAUGGCCCUCACCCGGGAUACGCUGCUACGGCUGGAGCUCGUGGAAGACGACCGCUCCCCUCCCUGCUCCGAGCCCGAUAGCGUCGAGCACCUGCGCUAACGGAGUGUCCCGCAUACUCCCGCACCCGAGGCCGGCUCUGGGGUUUCACAACAACACUCCGGGAAAUCUUCCAGGAGCCGGCAACCAAGAUCACGGAGUUUCUCCGAGGAGUGGGGCGCGCCGACCCCCCCCCCCCCGUCGACGUGCUCCCGCGGCGGGCCCCCUAGGGGGCCCACGCGUGGCGUGCAAGAAGAGAGAGAGAGAGAGAGAGAGAGAGAGAGAGAGAGAGAGAGAGAGAGAGAGAGAGAGAGAGAGAGAGAGAGAGAGAGAGAGAGAGAGAGAGAGAGAGAAAAAAAGUGUUCCGGCGGUUUUUGUCACCGCCGAACCCACCUCCUCCGCCACCGUUCGCAAAACAAACUGGAUAUGCCCCCAUUCGAAGCCAGUGCAAGAUCGCUAAGAUUGAAUGCAGUUCGCCGAAUUGAAUGAAAAAAAUGCCGAUUUGAGGUGCAAAAAGGUAUAUAUAGAAAAGUCGUCAUGCCGUAUGUGCGCGGAAAGCUUGCGAUAGAAAGUACACACGUGCACAAACAGACUCAUGCAUGCAUACAGAAAGUUCGUCCUUUUCAUUAUACCGGCCAAAUGUGUGCCGUGCUACGUUUUCGUAGAUACCAAUAACAUUGUAGGCCAAAGGGCUACAAUCCUACUGUACGCCACUCGUCCUAUGUACAUUAAUGUCAUCACCAGCACUGACAUAACCACCAGCACCCAACUCCCAAUGUCGCAUUUGCUCGAGCUCUGCUGCAGUGACCGCUGACCUCACCUGAAGCUGCUCUGGCGCGGUGACCGUCUCCGCGGGACCGUCUCUCCGAGCCGUCUUUCCGGGCCGUCUUUCCGGCCGUCUUUCCGGCCGUCUCCGUCUCCGUGUCGAUGGUGGCGCCGCUGCCAUCCAUCUACCGAUCGACGCCACUCGCCCAGAUGGUGCUGCUGAGCUGACUAUGGCGCAGGAGGGGACUGGUCAGAGGGAUUAUGCCGGCUCGCCGUCGAUAUUCUUGUGCUGGUGACGUCACUGGUCGCCCUGCAGUGCUACCAAAACAGCAUCCGAUGAUGCCUCCAUGAUCCCUGGUCUUCCGGGGACAUCUUCAGCAGCACGCGCAGCGCUCGAUCGGAAGACCACCCGCAUCCCGGAAAGACGUCUACUGCCGAUCAGGGCCCACUGGGAUCCUUCGUCGGUCGCUGGGAUAAAUUUUUUCCGACUUGUGUGUCCAAUGCCCAUGGAUAAUCGAUGAUAUUCUUCGGCCCGACAUGAUAUUCUUCGGCGUGUUUGAAGAUUAUGACGGAACAAAUGCCCGCCGCACUACCUACUUGCCUUGUCCUGACACAUUGCCAUUUCACGUUUUCUUGUAUGCAACUGAUCAGGGUGGUGCGUUUAACAGAUGUUUGUUAUGGUAAAUGCAGGAGAACCUGUGAUGCGCUGAGACCCUAACCUAGCUAAACGAGUGGCGAAUAGAAAACGCAGCCAGAUCAUAUCAUCGUUUGACGUAUGGCGCUGGAUCUUGUGUGUAAUAUUGUUCAUGAUUUGAGAACAACAAUAAAAUAUGCAACGGAAAAUGA
rnacentral:lncRNA from 1 species